rnacentral:sRNA from 1 species
AUGAGUAAGCUGUGGCGGCGUGGGAGCACCUCUGGGGCUAUGGAGGCCCCUGAGCCGGUGUUCCUACCUUCACUGUGAUCCCAGAGGGGCCUCGCUCACCCUCUCCCCUUAUGGUUGUGGAUAAUGAAGAGGAACCUAUGGAAGGAGUCCCCCUUGAGCAGUACCGUGCCUGGCUGGAUGAAGACAGUAAUCUCUCUCCCUCUCCACUUCGGGACCUAUCAGGAGGGUUAGGGGGUCAGGAGGAAGAGGAGGAACAGAGGUGGCUGGAUGCCCUGGAGAAGGGGGAGCUGGAUGACAAUGGAGACCUCAAGAAGGAGAUCAAUGAGCGGCUGCUUACUGCUCGACAGCGAGCUCUGCUCCAGAAGGCGCGGAGUCAACCUUCCGCGAUGCUGCCGCUUCCUGUGGCUGAGGGCUGUCCACCUCCCGCCCUCACAGAGGAGAUGCUGCUGAAGCGCGAGGAGCGGGCGCGGAAGCGGCGGCUCCAGGCGGCGCGGCGGGCAGAGGAGCACAAGAACCAGACUAUCGAGCGCCUCACCAAGACUGCGGCGACCAGCGGGCGGGGAGGCCGGGGGGCCGCACGGGGCGAGCGGCGGGGAGGGCGGGCUGCGGCUUCAGCCCCCAUGGUGCGCUACUGCAGCGGAGCACAGGGUUCCACCCUUUCCUUCCCACCUGGCGUCCCGGCCCCCACG